rnacentral:rRNA from 1 species
UACCAGCACCCCGAGUGGUCGGGACGAUUAUUGGGCCUAAAGCAUCCGUAGCCGGUUCUGCAAGUCCCCCGUUAAAUCCAGCUGCUCAACAGAUGGGCCGCGGAGGAUACUACAGAGCUAGGAGGCAGGAGAGGCAAGCGGUACUCAGUGGGUAGGGGUAAAAUUCGUUGAUCCAUUGAAGACCACCAGUGGCGAAGGCGGCUUGCCAGAAUGCGCUCGACGGUGAGGGAUGAAAGCUGGGGGAGCAAACCGG